UUUGGACAUGGGGGCAACCCUGNNCCAGCAAUGCCGCGUGUGUGAAGAAGGCCUUCGGGUUGUAAAGCACUUUUAUCGGGAAAGAAACACUGUCGGCUAAUACUCCGGCGGGACUGCACGGUACCCGAUGAAUAAGCACCGGCCUAACUCCGUGCCAGCAGCCGCAGGUAAUACGGAGGGUGCAAGCCGUUAAUCANGAAUUACUGGGCGUAAAGCGUGCGUAGGUGGUUCGUUAAGUCCGUUGUGAAAGCCCCGAGCUCAACUUGGGAAUUGCAGUGGAUACUGGCGAGCUGGAGUGCGGUAGAGGAAGGUGGAAUUCCCGGUGUAGCAGGUGAAAUGCAGUAGAGAUCGGGAGGAACACCAGUGGCGAAGGCGGCCUUCUGGACCAGCACUGACACUCAAGCACGAAAGCGUGGGGAGCAAACAGGAUUAGAUACCCUGGUAGUCCACGCCCUAAACGAUGCGAACUGGAUGUUGGGCACACUACGGUGCUCAGUGUCGAAGCUAACGCGUUAAGUUCGCCGCCUGGGGAGUACGGUCGCAAGACUGAAACUCAAAGGAAUUGACGGA
rnacentral:rRNA from 1 species